AAAAAAAAAAAAACAUAAGACUAAGACAAACAUUCAUAUUCGGUUUUCUAAUUAACAUUACAAAGAAAGAUCACAUGAUACUACAACCACCUGGAUUCUCAUCGCUAAACAUAUCCGUAUAAGAAUCCGCGUGUGGAGGUGGCAUUGGGGGAGGAUGAGCAUAAUUCACUGCCGGAUAAGGCCGAGCAUACAUCAUCGGAUGGUACAUGUCACCACCACCGCCAUAGCCUCCAUGAGCUGCCGCUUGUUGUUGCUGUUGUUGUUGUUGCUGCUGGUUCAUCAUCAUUUGCAUAUACUGUUGUUGUUGGUUCAUUGGAUGAUUUGCCUGCGGCGGUGGCGGAUAAAAUCCUCCUCCUCCACUCAUCGGCAAGCCUUGAACCGCCGGGUAUGAACCGCCCAUUGGACCCAUCAUACUACCCAUCGGACCUGGUUGACCCAUCAUACCCAUUGGACCACCUUGACCCAUCAUACCCAUGGGACCACCUUGACUCAUUGGCCCACCAAUUCCCUUGGCGCUAUGAUUAUGAUUGCCCUUGUUACCUCCUCCUCCUUUACUGUGUUUCAUAAGCUCUUCAAUAUCGUGGGUCCCAUGGGCUCCUCCUUUGGACCCACCUCCUCCUUUUUUAGGCCCAUUAUCAUAAUGAUGAACAACUCCUCCUCCUCCACCACCACCACCGGAGGAUUUUACCUUAUCACCCCCACCGCCUUCUUUCUUACUACUAGCUCCCUUCUUCUCAUCUUUUUUUCCGCUUUUACCCUUUUUGAAAAACCCUAGAAGGCCACCACCACUUUUGGCAUCUGUUUUUCCGGCUUUGCCCCCACCUCC
rnacentral:lncRNA from 1 species